rnacentral:rRNA from 1 species
UACAGAGGGUGCGAGCGUUGUUCGGAAUUAUUGGGCGUAAAGCGCUUGUAGGCGGCUUGUUAAGUUCCGUGUGAAAUCCCCAGGCUUAACCUGGGAAGUGCGCGGAAAACUGGCGAGCUUGAGUGCCGGAGAGGGUCGCGGAAUUCCCGGUGUAGAGGUGAAAUUCGUAGAUAUCGGGGAGGAACACCAGUGGCGAAGGCGGCGACCUGGACGGACACUGACGC